rnacentral:lncRNA from 1 species
AAAAUACAUUUACUUAUUUAUAGGUGCAUCUGCCCUUGGGCAUGGGUGUGCGCCCUUGCCAUAGGGCACAUGAAGAGGGUCAGAGAGGACAAAUGACAAGAGUUGGUUCUCUCUUGAGUGUGGGACCUAAGGAACACACUGGGUCCUUAGGUUUGUUGUCCAGUGCCUACACCCUUUGGGCCAGCUCAAAACCUUGGUUUGUUGUUCUUCCUUGUUUGUUUGUUUUGUGUUUUAAGAAUAGAGCUCACACCACACAAGACUACCAAUCCCACAUCUAUAUAUGCAAUUACAUCAUUUAAACUCUCAGACAUUUAUAAAAGACCCCUUACCAGGUUCUAAUAUGAUCUUUACAUUACUUAGUCUCUGACUAUCAAAGGGAUUACAUUUCACCUGCUCCUUAUCCCUACCAUAUUCAAUGGUCCAGAAUCAGACAUGUAUAAUCAUUGUAUAAUCACUGGUAACAAUCCUAGCAAAGAAAUGAUAUUCCACUGUGAAGUUGCGGCCAAGGGUAGCCCAAUGUUUCCUUAGUUCUGGCUUCUACAUAACAGAAGAACGCUCUCCAGGUGACUUAGAAAUAAACUGUUUAGUAUCCAAGCUACAUCCUUGAUGUUCAGAUCGCUGGCAAGUUGAGAGCGCUGGCAAUCAAAACUAUGUUGUGUUACAUAAUUACUAUGACAAACUUCCCAAUGCUUAAUAUUAAAGAAUGGAAGAAUGUGAUCCCUCCACCUCUUCUACACCUCUAGAGUGUGUUCAACGUGGCAAUUAUCUUCGUUCAAGCAGCAGCGUUUAAAUUGCAUUGAAACUCAAUUAUACCCAUGACUUUUUAAAACAUACACUUCAAAAGGCAGGUUUCACCACACUCAAAUCACUGAGCAAAAUCUCUUUCCCAGCUUAUAAAAAAGGAGAUUUUUAUCCCCCUCCCACAAGACAUCUUCAAAUACAAAACUGACUUCCCUGGAGCUUUGGAUUCAGUUUUCUUUUCUUUCUUUUUUUUCUUUUUGGCCUGGUGAAUGCAGAAGGAAGGCUGAGCAAUGUUGAAAGAAAAAGAAGGUGCUAUCAUGCCAGGGAGUUGUCAUCUCUGAGAGACAAGGAUGGAUGAGAUUAUGAAGUCAUUUGGGGGUGGGGGUGGGGCAGUGUUUAAGGAACAAUGUUUAAGAUCCCAAGCCUACACCUCAGCUUCGCAAGAGUGGCUAACACUGUAGGUUCCAAGCCCCUGAACCCAUCCUAAAAUGAUUUCUGGGUCAACUAAUGAUUUCUGGGUCAACUCUGGUGGCUGAGGUUGGAACAUAGCUUCCACACAGCAGGGCAACGUCCUCUCUCUUCCCUCCCCCCACCUCCACCCCUGCUUCCCAGCAUGACUUGUUUGCUCUUCAUUUAUGGAAUUCAUAUGAUGCCAUUUAUACUGCUCUGCCUGAAGACGCAUUGCCAUGCGUGUGAAUAAUUCAGCCCCUCCAUUCUUCAGCCACUUCCCUCUGUGACUGGGAAGCCAAAGGAACACAAACUGGAGAACCGACACCACGCACUAAUCUCAGUUGCCAUGGCAGCAGCCUUUGAGAUCCUGAAAUGUUCCGAUCGCCAGCUAAACAAAAUUGUUGAAUGUGAACAUUUGGCUGGAAGAUUAAAAGGCUAAGGGGAAUGCAAAAGGCCAGAACCUCCCACAUUCCCAGCAGCCAGUGGAUCCAAUCAAAUAGCUCUGACUCCUUAACCACAGCAUUGUGAGCACUGGAUUAGGGCAAUUCAUCCAGAUAGUUAAAGCAGAUUAAAGCUGCAAUUUGAAGACUAUUGGCAACAAAAGUAAAUGCCCCACUGUACUAAGUAAUAAGAAGAUUUCAAACUGUCUUUUAGUAGAAAUUAUGUGAAACCACACAUUUAAAGUAAGAAGCCAAGCCUGAGAUUUUUUUAAAGUUGAUUUAAAUUCAUCAAUGUAAAAGGCUAAGAGGAUUUGGAUUCCAAAAGCAAUCAGUAGCCUUUUGCAAGUUUGACGGUAUUGUCUAUGCCUCUCUCUGCCUCCAUCAGUGUUUACAAUCAGAACUUUAUUCCUAUGUCCGUUCCAACUUUAAUUCUGAGCACCCAAGUUGAAAAUAAAGGGAAUCAGAGAACUGUGAGUUAUUUCAUGCAGGAGUAAUUCCCAGGAGACUUCUUAGCAUCAUUCCAGCCAGAAAGGGGGGUGGGGUGGGGGAUCACAUCACAAUAAUAAGCAUAGUUAGAAGAAAUCACGUUACUACAACCACUUGAUAGAAACAUCUUCAUGCUACAACUUGUGGAAUGAGUCUAAAGAUUAAUUUCACAGAAACACCACUCUCACCUCCCAACCAACGAGCCUGGAGGACACAUAGCCGCCAGUUCCCAGACAUUACCCCAAAGCAACUGCAUCCCAGACAAGCAAAACCCAGGCCUCCAUGCCUAAGCAAGGUAACACUGGAGCAGGGGGUUUCCAGCACAGUGUCUAACCACAGACUUUAAGACAAUGAACAACAAGAGUGCAAGGGUCCAAAUGGCCCACGUCGGGCAUUGUUAAGCCACAGUUGGCUUCCCUGCUGCCCCAAUGCCCCCCUUGGUCGGAUCCUCACAUUUCAGGAACACAAGCCAAAUGUGCUUUCCGAUUCUUACUUACUAAUCUCGCAGCUGCCCAGGCAAGCUAAAAGACCGAAGUGAUAACAGUCUCACGUCUCUAGCUGCAGUGGGUGAGAGAGCAAAGUAGAGAGCGUCUCCACAGUCACCAAAAACUGGCACAGUUUGACUGCAUAGUUACAAAGUCAGUGAUCAAUACUCCCAGCCUGGAGUACAUCCUUUGACGGAACUAUUUGGGGGAAAGUAACAGAACAAUGAGUGUCAAUAACACUACACACUCCCUUUCCACAGAGGGAACUAGAACCCUGUUCCUAAGGACACACGGUUUACAAUAACACAGACGACAAUUCUCUUUAGGGAAGAAACCAGGACGAAACUCAAGCUAGUGCCGCAGCAGGUUUUCUGGUCAAAGCACACACGGACAAUUUGCUGGCUGCCAAGUCGCUCUUACAAGAAGGCAAAAGGCACUUGGAACAUUCAGAGCUUCCCACCCUAUGACCUUUCAAACGCUGGCACCACCAGCAGAAGCAAGCAGCAGAAGCAAGAGCCAAAAUCUGCACUCGGGAUAGCAUCCAUAAAAGAUGAACGUCAUAGAAAUCUCACGGAGAACCCGAAAGCACUAGGAAGUGUAAGACACCCGGAGGCACAUCCCACAACCCCAAACAAAUGCACACAGAGUGGGGGGUACACAAGAAGGCGAUCGUAUCCUACCUUCUCAGUUUUCAGUUUCUUGAUUCGCCUGUGGCUCUCCUCCUCCUCCUCUUCCUUCUUGACCAGCAUAGAGUUUCCC